AGCCCCCAUUCGGCGGCUACCUUGCCGCACUCCAACGCCCAGCAUGCCGCCCUUUAAGCGCCCAGCGCGGCCGCCACCUGCAACCCCCCUACCUCCACCCCAUAUCGAUCUGCCGCUUCCUCGACCUGCCUCGGCGCCGCUUCCUCGAUCUGCCACGCCGCCGCUUCCUUGAUCCACCUCGCCGCCGUUUGGAUAGUUGUGGCGACGGCUUCGUCGGUCUUCAGCUCCGGCACCUACAUCCUCAAGGAGUACGAUCUCUUGGCUGGUUUCAUCUGUUCUGGGACCAAAAUUGCCGAGGGGACUUCCACAACUUGUAUUGCUUGAUUUCCCUGUCUGAGACUACAAUCUUGUUGUCCAAGGUGAUGGACAUGCUGACCAUAUACCUGCACUAUGAAGAUGCAAAUCAGGAAGCCAAAAUUUUACAAAGAUCCAUGAUGAGGUUAUGCCUAUAGUUACUCUUACUCAUGUCACAAUGAUAGAAUAUAAAAUAGUUGCUUGCUUACCAUUGUUGUGUCAUGUAACUAGGUUGGCAACCAUGAUGUCAACCAAUUACAAAUUCAACAAAAUUCAUCAUCACCACAAGACCUUGUUAUUGAUUCUGUGCCAGAGGUGAGGGAAACGAGGGAUCUUACAGGUGAAUCUGUUUCAAGAUAGAACCAGCAGGGGAAUAGAACUGAACACCCACACCCAGCUAGCACAAAAAGAAGGCGUACUUCUUCCAUCAAGGCUGCUUCCAAAGUAGUUUUAAAGACUUCAACAUAUACCAACAAGCGAAAUGUUGCAUAUGGAACUAUUCGGAGUACUGAUCCAAGAACUAAGGCUGGUGGCAUUGAAUUAGGUGUUGAAUUUGCCAUUGUGCGCAUAGAUCAACCUAUUCUUUAUAAUGAGGAGUUGGUAAGGGAUUGAGUUGCAAGAAAAUUGGUGAGACUUUCACUUUAGGAUACUUAAUUGCCUGGCCUUCAGCUUUUAUUCGAGAGAAGGAUAAUUGAGUUGCAGCUGAAUUCUUGGAUCAAGAAGCAAAUAAAGUUUGAGGAUUUUAGCUCCCAAUAGUCGUAGUUUACAUUGAUAGAUUGAAAAAUGUAAUAUAAUCCACAAGAUCUUUUUCUUUCUUUGAAUUGAUGCAAAUGCUAUGGUGUAAUAUUCUCGAUAGUUGUGUUUUCUUUGCUCAAAAUGAUAUGACUGAUAUAUUUAUUGUAAUGCAUAUGUAUCAUACACUCUUGUGUAUUUGUAAUAAAUAUCUUCAUAUGAAUUUCCAGA